CGACCGCUGGCGGCGUGCUUACCACAUGCACGUCGAACGGAAAGGCCCUGCUUUUGUGGGGUGCUCGAGUGGCGAACGGGUGAGUAACACGUGAGUAACCUGCCCUUGACUUUGGGAUAACUUCAGGAAACUGGGGCUAAUACUGGAUAGGAGCUCCUGCUGCAUGGUGGGGGUUGGAAAGUUUCGGCGGUUGGGGAUGGACUCGCGGCUUAUCAGCUUGUUGGUGGGGUAGUGGCUUACCAAGGCUUUGACGGGUAGCCGGCCUGAGAGGGUGACCGGCCACAUUGGGACUGAGAUACGGCCCAGACUCCUACGGGAGGCAGCAGUGGGGAAUAUUGCACAAUGGGCGGAAGCCUGAUGCAGCAACGCCGCGUGCGGGAUGACGGCCUUCGGGUUGUAAACCGCUUUCGCCUGUGACGAAGCGUGAGUGACGGUAAUGGGUAAAGAAGCACCGGCUAACUACGUG
rnacentral:rRNA from 1 species